GACGAACGCUGGCGGCGUGCUUAACACAUGCAAGUCGAACGGAAAGGCCCUGCUUUUGUGGGGUGCUCGAGUGGCGAACGGGUGAGUACACGUGGGUAAACUCACCUUGACUUUGGGUCAACUUCUGGAAAAUGGGGCCAAUACCGGAUAGGAGUAUCUGCUGCCUGGUGGGGGGUGGAAAGUUUUGGCGGUUGGGGGUUGACUCGCGGCUUAUCCGAUUGUUGGUGGGGUAGUGGCUUACCAAGGCUUUGACGGGUAGCCGGCCUGAGAGGGUGACCGGCCAAAUUGGGACUGAGAUACGGCCCAGACUCCUACGGGAGGCAGCAGUGGGGAAUAUUGCACAAUGGGCGGAAGCCUGAUGCAGCAACGCCGCGUGCGGGAUGACGGCCUUCGGGUUGUAAACCGCUUUCGCCUGUGACGAAGCGUGAGUGACGGUAAUGGGUAAAGAAGCACCGGCUAACUACGUG
rnacentral:rRNA from 1 species